rnacentral:rRNA from 1 species
UACGUAGGGGGCAAGCGUUGUCCGGAAUUAUUGGGCGUAAGGCGCGCGCAGGCGGUUAAUUAAGUUGGGUGUUUAAGCCCGGGGCUCAACCCCGGUUCGCAUCCAAAACUGGUUGACUUGAGUGUAGGAGAGGAAAGUGGAAUUCCACGUGUAGCGGUGAAAUGCGUAGAGAUGUGGAGGAACACCAGUGGCGAAGGCGACUUUCUGGCCUAUAACUGACGCUGAGGCGCGAAAGCGUGGGGAGCAAACAGG